GAUGAACGCUGGCGGCGUGCCUAAUACAUGCAAGUCGAGCGAACAGACGAGGAGCUUGCUCCUCUGACGUUAGCGGCGGACGGGUGAGUAACACGUGGAUAACCUACCUAUAAGACUGGGAUAACUUCGGGAAACCGGAGCUAAUACCGGAUAAUAUAUUGAACCGCAUGGUUCAAUAGUGAAAGACGGUUUUGCUGUCACUUAUAGAUGGAUCCGCGCCGCAUUAGCUAGUUGGUAAGGUAACGGCUUACCAAGGCAACGAUGCGUAGCCGACCUGAGAGGGUGAUCGGCCACACUGGAACUGAGACACGGUCCAGACUCCUACGGGAGGCAGCAGUAGGGAAUCUUCCGCAAAGGGCGAAAGCUUGACGGAGCAACGCCGCGUGAGUGAUGAAGGUCUUCGGAUCGUAAAACUCUGUUAUUAGGGAAGAACAAAAGUGUAAGUAACUAUGCACGUCUUGACGGUACCUAAUCAGAAAGCCACGGCUAACUACGUG
rnacentral:rRNA from 1 species